UACGAAGGGGGCUAGCGUUGUUCGGAAUCACUGGGCGUAAAGCGCACGUAGGCGGUAUAGCAAGUUAGGGGUGAAAUCCCGAGGCUUAACCUCGGAACUGCCUUUAAAACUGCUAUGCUGGAGUCUCGGAGGGGAUGGUGGAAUUUCCAGUGUAGAGGUGAAAUUCGUAGAUACUGGAAGGAACACCGGUGGCGAAGGCGGCCAUCUGGACGAGUACUGACGCUGAGGUGCGAAAGCGUGGGGAGCGAACAGG
rnacentral:rRNA from 1 species